rnacentral:rRNA from 1 species
UAUGGCGACCGGCGCACGGGUGAGUAACACGUAUCCAACCUGCCGAUGACUCGGGGAUAGCCUUUCGAAAGAAAGAUUAAUACCCGAUGGCAUAGUUCUUCCGCAUGGUAGAACUAUUAAAGAAUUUCGGUCAUCGAUGGGGAUGCGUUCCAUUAGGUUGUUGGCGGGGUAACGGCCCACCAAGCCUUCGAUGGAUAGGGGUUCUGAGAGGAAGGUCCCCACAUUGGAACUGAGACACGGUCCAA